UACAUUUUUUUAAAUCCCAAGAUUCAUUUUCCAGCCUUAGGCACUUUAACUUUAUUUAAAAUGUGGUCUUGAUUGGUCCAGUCACAAAAACCCCAAACCAGAUUGCCUAAGUUUGAAUCUCUCUGUUCUUCCAUUGAAAAACUUGUGUGACUUUUUGGCAAGUCAAUUAACUUCCCUAUGUCUCAGUUUACUCAUGUGUGACAUGGAGGAGAUAAAAAUAAUUAUAAAAUAUUCAAAAAGAUAGCUCUGAAAGUGAGGUAGAAAAUUAUUUUUUUAAUUUAUGAGAAAGAAACAAUAAGAUUUAUAAUGUUUCUUUGGAAAACAAAGGAAAUAGAAAGUAAAGACAUCUCUUUCUAGGAUUUUUAGUUUUAGAGACUGGUGGGACCAAAAUAAGAAGUUGAAAAGAGUGUUCUCUUGUCAAGAUGGACAAACAUAAAACAAAACACUUCUCUGUUUCAGUUUCACAUGGCGAUAGAUACGUAAAAUAUGUUGACAUGAUCACAAAUACAGAAUAGAAUAGUAAUGAUGAGUCAGGCUUCUAAAUGUAGGUUACAGAAAAGAAAAGAGCUUACAUUAGAAUGGAUGGAUUCUAAUCUAAUUGAUUAGAAUUUCCCUUAAAAAGAGGUUGUUUUAAAAUAGAUGAACCCUCCCAAUAAUUAAUGUGUACAACCCGCAAAUUACAGAAGCCUAACUGAGCAUAUGUUUACGUUUUACUCAUUGCCCGAUGAAUGGGGUUGCCCCAUGAAGGGUUAUAGGCUGAUAAAGAUUCAAACAACCUCAGUCUAUGAUUUUAUAGUCCUCUUGGGUUUUGACAUCCAACAGCAAGUCUGGGAAAGAGAAAGAGGAUUUUGUGUUAAAGAUUUGAAAGUGGCUCACACGGCAUCUGCUCAUUUUUUUUUUAUCAGAUAGGACUCUAUCAUUGGUACCACCUAAACUGCAAGGGAGACAGAAAAACAUAAUAGGAGAAAACGUCAAGAAAAAGACAGUGGUUGACAUUCUAAAAGACUUCAGAGAAGUGAGAGAGACUAAAACUUGAAAAAAUGUCUAGAUUUGGAUAGAAGAAAGCCAUAACUGAUGCUCAGGAGAAAUAUAUACCAAAAAAAAAAAAAAAA